GGAUGCGAUCAUACCAGCACUAACGCACCGGAUCCCAUCAGAACUCCGAAGUUAAGCGUGCUUGGGCGAGAGUAGUACUAGGAUGGGUGACCCCCUGGGAAGUCCUCGUGUUGCAUCCU
rfam:Nicotiana sylvestris Nsyl_contig146604, whole genome shotgun sequence.